GAUGAACGCUGGCGGCGUGCUUAACACAUGCAAGUCGAACGGGAUCCCAGGGGUGCUUGCACUUUUUGGUGAGAGUGGCGAACGGGUGAGUAACACGUGAGUAACCUGUCCUUUUCUUUGGGAUAAGCAUUCCAAAGGGUGUUUAAUACCUUAUGUUCUGUCUGCCUCGCAUGGGGUGGGUGGGAAAGGCUUUGGCCGGAUUUGGGUGGGCUCGCGGUCUAUCAGCUUGUUGGUGGGGUGAUGGCUUACCAAGGCUUUGACGGGUAGCCGGCCUGAGAGGGUGGUCGGUCACAUGGGGACUGAGAUACGGCCCAGACUCCUGCGGGAGGCAGCAGUGGGGGAUAUUGCACAAUGGGCGAAAGCCUGAUGCAGCGACGCCGCGUGGGGGAUGAAGGCCUUCGGGUUGUAAACUUCUUUUGCUCUGAACAAGGCAUGCCAGUGGGUGUGUUGAGUGUAGGGGUUGAUUAGCGCCGGCUAACUACGUG
rnacentral:rRNA from 1 species